UAUUCGGUAGGUAAGGCUACCACAGGGAUACGGAUUACUGCCGCGAAACGGUGGAGACACUGUCAGCAGGUUAACAGGCCAUAUCGAGCAUAAGGUAUGAUUUAAUGUAAUUUCAUCGCCCUGCGAAGCUAAAGCUUGAACGAAUA
rnacentral:sRNA from 1 species